GAUGAAGAACGCAGCGAAAUGCGAUACGUAAUGUGAAUUGCAAAUUCAGUGAAUCAUCGAGUCUUUGAACGCACAUUGCGCCCCCUGGUAUUCCGGGGGGCAUGCCUGUCCGAGCGUCAUUGCUGCCCUCAAGCACGGCUUGUGUGUUGGGCCCCGUCCUCCGAUCCCGGGGGACGGGUCCGAAAGGCAGCGGCGGCACCGCGUCCGGUCCUCGAGCGUAUGGGGCUUUGUCACCCGCUCUGUAGGCCCGGCCGGCGCUUGCCGAUCAACCCAAAUUUUUAUCCAGGUUGACCUCGGAUCAGGUAGGGAUACCCGCUGAACUUAAGCAUAUCAAUAAGCGGAGGA
rnacentral:misc_RNA from 1 species